GACGUAGGGCGCGAGCGUUGUCCGGAUUUAUUGGGCGUAAAGAGCUCGUAGGCGGCUUGUCGCGUCGUCCGUGAAAACCCGCAGCUCAACUGUGGGCUUGCAGCUGAUACGGGCAGGCUUGAGUUCGGUAGGGGAGACUGGAAUUCCUGGCGUAGCGGUGAAAUGCGCAGAUAUCAGGAGGAACACCGGUGGCGAAGGCGGGUCUCUGGGCCGAUACUGACGCUGAGGAGCGAAAGCGUGGGGAGCGAACAGG
rnacentral:rRNA from 1 species